UACAGCAGUUACCUAAACCUGUAACCGUCCUCCCUCCAUUAUCCCCUACCUCCGCUGCAGUCUCUCCCACAGGCCCGGAUGCAGGCUCCCUGUCUCUCGAUCUGGUCCUCUGUGGGGCUGUGCGCGCUGCCUCGAUGGCGGACAGCGGCACCAGGAGGAGCGCGCCGGAGCUCGCCUCCGGAGGUUGCGGCGCGGCGCAAGAUCAAGGCGCGGGAUGGAGCACGUUCUGGUCGUUUGGUCACGGGCACCCACCCUCCCUCUCUCGAAUCAUCUUCCUGCUGAGCUCCGCGCUAGGGUUUCCGACCGCCAUGGCGCCAUUCUACCGGAGGUCGUGGAGGAGUCGCGCAGGAGGGCGAGACAGCGCGGGGGAGGCGCUGCAAGAGGCACGGGGUCGGGAGGGGGCUUGGAGGCGCUGCUCGAGGCAGGUUCAGGGGGGACGAGCGGCUCUGGCCUGUUGGCCAGCGCUGACUUUUUCAUCGAUCUGGUGGCGGCGAGUUUGAUUUGACAGAAAAUCGCGCCUACCGAAUCCUCCUCCAAGGCUCCAAUUGAUAUGUGUUUUCUUGGGUGAGAACAUCAAAAUAUUGCAAUGCUCCCAGCUCAUGUUUUCUUGGGUGAAAUUAUAUUCUAGCACUGGGAGAUCAAACGGUAUUUUCUCAACCAAGAACCUUCAGGUUAUUCUGUAUAAUCUUUAUAGAUAACAAACUUUAUUGCUUAUUGCAGUAAUGUUCUUAUUAGAAAAAUGACAUGCCCUUAGAUUUAUAAUCUGUAAUUCUGUAUUAAUGUGAUCCAUUACGCUAAACAACGAAGGACUUCUGCUACUGUAUCGAUUUAUGUUCAACACUAGGGAGCCCUCUGAAUAUAUACAUAAUAUUAUGGCUAUCAAUUUGUUCAUGGGAAAAAUUAUGGCUGAGAGACCUUCUGUAUAUUAAGUCAAGAUACUAACCUGCCACUAUCCUAAAGGGGAAAAUAUAAUACUAAAAUGACCUGGAGGCUCCCUGGAUGUUCCCUGAGUGUUGUUUGAACUACGUCCUCUUCUUGCGGUGUGUUGCUCUGAGGUUUAAUUUUACCGAGGAUUUCUUACUUUUAACCUUUUCUUAUCAGGUAAACGAAUACAAACAAUUACUAGGGUUAGACGCUAAGUGAAAUAAUGGAUCUUCCUACCUCUUGAACACAAAAUAUACUUUUGUCUGCCUCAUAUUGUAGUACAAAACAAGCAUCAGUCAUGACUCAUGAAGUUGGAUCAAGAGUUCACAAGGGACACAACUAUUUGUAGAACCAUCGGAAUAAUCAUUACAGGUUCCUUUUAGUUUUCACCCUUGCAAAUCAUCCAUUUAUUCUUAGAAAAGAACAAUAAUCAUAUCAUUCUUCUAAACUGUAUAGUGGGUUAGCUGUGGCUCCUCUGAGCUUAUUUUCCAUUCUCUCUGCACUGGCUUUUGGUCCCCGUUGUGUUUGCUGGUCGUGCGUGUGUGUUGCAGCUGGCGUUUCAUUUACAGUAGCAACUGCAACUGAUCGUUGUCCGAAACGGCAUUGGUUGGAAUCCAUGGAGACUUGCGACUGCCAUGUAUGAAGCGGACUUGGGCUGGUCGGCAAUGCUGCUGCCAAUUGCUUAUUUCUGGUCUACCAAUGAAUUUAAAAAUAAUAUUGCUGGGGCAUUGAUAUAGUCUUUGCAUUAAUCGUUAUGGUCUCGAAUGUGCAUUUCAGUUGUUCGGGAAAAGGUCUGUUGCUGCGUGUGCGUGUCUGGGUUCUUCCUUUGAUUUGCUUGUACUGCAGACGCUCACGGUGAACAGUUAUGACUGCAAUAAUUUGUGUUUGCUUGAUUGGAUUUCACUUUUUACUUGAAUGCAGAUAUACAAUGGUUGUGUACUUGUGUGUAGCAAUGCCCGACGGAAAAUAUUGAACAUACAGAUUCAAGAAGCACAUCUGAGAAGGUAGAUAUGGCCGGGAAGAUUUCGUCUUGACGCUUCUACUGAUGAAGUUUUGUAGGUGGGAGAAUGGUUGCUGGACUAAACCAUUAGCUGGCAUGCUAGAUUAAACUGUCACCUCCACCGCACUGUCAAUGCCUUGGAGCAGUAUCCUACCUAUGGAGGCAUUUGUAUGAUAGUUUUUACACAGCUAAGGAGAAUACCUGAUCUUGCCUCAGCGGGUGACGUUCUGGAGUCAUUCAUUGAGGGUGGUGAUUUACUUCUUGGUGGCGGCCACUCCUACCAUUUUGGCCGGGGUUUGCUGUUUCCUAAUGGCCGGGGUGACUGGGUGGGGCUGGAUCGCCGGUUGGUGCUGUUGUGUUUCAGAGUGGCUAUGCGGCUUCGGAGCUGAAGAGUCUAGGUAUGUGGGACGUUUUAUGAAUUAGUUUGAUCAAGCGGAGACAAGGGUGGCAAAACGACCUCUAUGUAAUGGCACACAAAAAAAAAGUUAUGUAUAUCUAAACAGGUGGAUAAUUUGAUGAGAAAAUUACAAGCUUCAGUGUGGACUAUGGGCGAAACUGUCAAUUGUGAAGCCCACGAUUCCUUCAAAUAUUCACAGUUCUGGUGACUUUUGAUUAUUGUACAACUGGAGGUUUCCUAUAACUUUCCCUAUCCGCUGCCAUUACAGAGAUUAAGUAACUUUGUUUUGCCAAAUACAGUUGAGUGGUGAACUGAUAUUUCGUA